rnacentral:rRNA from 1 species
GAACGCGAAGAACCUUACCAGGUCUUGACAUCCCGAUGCUAUUUCUAGAGAUAGAAAGUUACUUCGGUACAUCGGUGACAGGUGGUGCAUGGUUGUCGUCAGCUCGUGUCGUGAGAUGUUGGGUUAAGUCCCGCAACGAGCGCAACCCCUAUUGUUAGUUGCCAUCAUUCAGUUGGGCACUCUAGCGAGACUGCCGGUAAUAAACCGGAGGAAGGUGGGGAUGACGUCAAAUCAUCAUGCCCCUUAUGACCUGGGCUACACACGUGCUACAAUGGUUGGUACAACGAGUUGCGAGUCGGUGACGGCGAGCUAAUCUCUUAAAGCCAAUCUCAGUUCGGAUUGUAGGCUGCAACUCGCCUACAUGAAGUCGGAAUCGCUAGUAAUCGCGGAUCAGCACGCCGCGGUGAAUACGUUCCCGGGUCUUGUACACACC